CUUUAAGUAUUGUUCAGCACAUACAAUGUCGAAUUGUGAGCUUUCGAUCUUUUGCACCAGUGGUACGACUUUCUUUAUAAGAUUGGUGAUUUUCGCUUUGUAAUGCUUCGUUUCUGUGCUAGCAUUUCACGAGAUUCUCGCGACAUGUUUACGUUCUACGAUUUGUCUUGUUUCAAAAUGAGUCAAACGACGCCAUUCUUUCGCUGAUUUACAUCCGUCUUCGAAGGACCAUAAUAAUAGAUGCGAUUGUUUACUUGCUUUUAACUGCCUAGCUAGCAGUCCUUUGUUUUACCCAAGAAAAACAGCGAGUAACCGAGGUAAAACUUAUUUU